UUAUGACACACAUGUGAUACAAGAAUCACUGUACAAUUGCGCUUGAAAUGAGUCCCAUACUGAAAAUUCUCUCAGUUCAAGUCAGUCUUGUUAAAAAUUUCUUGACACUGGGUACCAUUGUACAGGAAUUGAACGCUCUCAGUUCAAGUCAGUCUUGUUAAAAAUUUCUUGACACUGGGUACCAUUGUACAGGAAUCACACUCGUAUCACAUGUCUGUCCGGGGUAUAACCUUUCAACUGAGAAAAUAAUUCAAUUCAUAUUGAGACAUAAAUACACAGAACAAAAAUUACUACACAGAAAAAAAUAAUGUAAUAUGCCUCGAUGUAAUUGCUGAAAAUGUGUAAAAAAUACGAUGUAAUGGUGUUUUUGGAUGUACAAUUACAUCGACUCGAUGGUGAAUUACAUCUGUCUUGAAAUUACACUAAAACAAUGUAUCAACUUUUCCUAGCAUCGUAUCUGUGUAAUAUUCACAUCAAAAUAAUGUGAAUAUUACACAGAAACAACUGCAACCAAGUGGUUGCGAUGAUGCUGUGUGAAAUUACACAGAAUCUAUGUCAUAUCGCAUCCUCUUAUGAUGCGAUAUGACAUCUUGCAACACUGCCCUGAUUGUUGCGGCCGACCACCGUGCAGACAAGCAAGCUGCCAUUUUUGUUUUUUCGGUUCGAGUCGUGUCGAGUUCUUUUUUCCAAAUAUUAUUGAAAUUUAAGCUGUUUAGGCACAGGCAGCUUUUUUCGGGCACUCCUUUCAACUGACAUCGCAGGGGUUUGCUGGUGCCUUAGCCGUCGAUCUGGCCGAAUUCCGUUACCCCACCCGGACCCGUUACCCCACCAAUAAUUCACGAGAAGCUCGCUGGGAAGAAAAGAGCAGCUGAUGGUAACAGAAACCACAAACUUUUUCGUUGAACCGGUCAACUGGAUGGCCCCGCUACGGCUAGAAUGGUGGUGAGCAGCAGGAUGUAUCACGGUUCCCAGGCCCCGCAAGAUCUAGCGUGCCAAAUAGUCCAGAGCGACCGUGCAGUGGCUGUCUGAUGCCCACCGACAAUACCUUCACCAGGAGGAGAUGGCGCAAAGUGUAUUCCACGAAACCCCGAGGAUUGGACCGCUCUGGAGAAUUCAGCAUAUACUCCGGGAAAGGUGCGGUCCGUUUCAGGUAAAUGCAGUAUGUUUAGAUUUCUUGUAGUACCUGCGUAAAUAAAAGGGCGAACGUUCAAUACGGCGCGCGAACUGGGGAGGAUUUACUCUGGUACCUCCAACAAUUCACAUAUGUAUUCCGAGUUGCGAUUUAUGUGUCGGGAAAAUAUUCCAAGUUAGUGAGAAUAUUACAAUCUGUGGGGGGUAAUGAGCCCAGUCAGAUCUCUGAAUGGGCAAUGUGGGUUAGUGUGUGAGAAUGCCAUUGAAGGUUUGUAAAAUUCUCCGAGGCUUUCGAAAACCUCGGGUUGCGGAUAGGAGGAAAGGGUGAUCUUUCGCAUUUGGGGAUUCCUCAAGAAGUUUCCUAGAAUUUCUCCAGGAGUUCAUCGGAAGUUCCUUCAGGAGUUCCCCAUGGAUUCCUGCAGGAAUUCAUCGAGAAAUCUUUCAGCAGUUUCUCGGGAUAACCUCGAGAGGUCCUCCAUCAGUUCCCCGGAUUUUUUUUCCUGAAAAUCCACAGGAAAUUUUAGGAACACCCCCGAGAGUUGCCCGAAAAGUCCUCCAGGAGUAAAAAAAUAUCCUCUAAGAUUCUGGGAUUCCCCCAGAAAAUCUACAGGGAUUCCUUCAGGAGUUCCCCGGGAAUUUCUACAGUUCGGAAAAUCCUCUUAAGGUUCCCCGCGCAUUCCUCCAGGAGUUUUUCGGGAAUUUCUCUAAGAGUUUAUUGGGAAUUCCCUGGAAAUUCUUUCAAGAGAUCAUCGGGAGGUCUUCAAUCAGUGCCCCAGGAAUUUCUCCAGGACUUCCUAGAGUAUUUCUUCAGGAGUUCCUCGAGAAUUCUGCCAGGAGUUUCGCGGUAAUUGCCCAGGGAGAUCUUCUGAAAUGCCUCCUGAAGUUCCUUGGAAAUUCCACCAGGAGUUUCCCGGAAAUUCCUGAAGCAGUUCACAGGGAGUUCCUCCAGCAGUUCCCCGGGGAUACAUUCAAAAAUUCCCCGGUGAUUCUUCCUAGAGUUCCCCGGAAAUUUCUAAAUGAGUUCCUUAGGAAUUUCUCCUGGAGUUCCUCGAGAAUUCAAGGAGUUCCUCAGCAAUUCUCCCAGCAGUUUCUUGGAAAUUUCUCCAAGAGUUGUUCGGGAAUUCCUCCAGAAGUUCCUCGGUAAUUAAUUCAUGAGUUUCUCGGGAAUUCAUCCUGGAUUUUUUCGGGAAUACACCUAGGAGUUCCUCGAGAAUUCUUCCAGAUGUUUUUCAGGAGUUCUUACCGGAGUUCUUCAGGAAUUCCUUCUGGAGUUCUUCGAAAAUUCCUACAGGAGUACCUCGGGAAUUCCUUCAGGAGCUUUUCAGUAACUCCUCCAAGAGUCCCUCGGGAAUUUCUCCAGGAGUUCCUGGAAAAUUUUUCCAGUAGUUACUGGGAAAUUCGUCUAGGAGAUUCUUAGGAAUCCCUCCAGGAGUUCCUCGGGAAUUCUUCUAGGAGUUCCUUGAGAAUUUAUCCAGAAGUUGCUCGGGAAUUACUCCAGGAAUUUCUAGGAAAAUCUUCCUCCAGCCUUAAUUAAUCCGUGUCGGGUAUUUCCAUCACUGCGAUCAGUUUUUUGAUCUAUUGUGACAUCCUCCAGCCUUUGUCUCAGGUAUUCUCCCAGAAGUUCCUCGGGAAUUCCUCCAGAAGUUCCUUAGGAAUUCCUCCAAAAGUUCCUGGGGAAUUCCUCCAGAAGUUGCUCAGGAAUUCUUCCUCCUGCAGAAAAUGCUCAGGCAUUCUUCCAGAAGUUCCUUGGGAAUUCUUCCAAAAAAUUCUUAGGAUUUUUUCCAGCAAUUCCUUGAGAAUUCUUCUAGAAGUUCCUUGAUAAGUAUUCCAGAAGUUCCUCCCGAAUUCUACCAGAAGUUCCUCGGGAAUUCUCUUAGAGUUUUCUGCAGCAUUCUCGCAGAAGUUCCUCAGUCAUUUUUACAGAAGUUCCUCUGGAAUUCUUCCAGGAGUUUCUCAAGAAUUUUUCCAAAAGAAUUCUUCUACAAGUUCCUCGGGAAUUCUUCCAGAAGUUCCUCGGGAAUUCUUCCAGAAGUUCCUCGGGAAUUCUUCCAGAAGUUCCUCAGAAAUUCUUUCAGAAGUUCCUCGGAAAUUCUUCCAGAAGUUCCUCGGGAAUUCUUCCAGAAGUUCCUCGGGAAUUCUUCCAGAAAUUCCUCAGGAAUUCUUCCAGAAGUUCCUCGAGAAUUCUUCCAGAAUUCUUCGGGUUUUUAAUCUGUAUUAACGAGAUUUUUAGCCCUUGGCUAGUUCAUCUCGAGACCCACGCUUUACUUCCCUUCCGAAGGAAGAACUCACAUUUUGCGAGUUUGUCGGGAGUGGGAUUCGAUCCCAGGUCCUCGGCGUGAUAGCCAAGUGUUCUAACCAUCACACCAGGUCUGCUCCUCUCCUCGGGAAUUCUUCCAGAAGUACCUCAGGAAUUCUUCCAUAAGUUCUUCGGGGAUUCUUCCAGAAGUUCUUCGGGAAUUGUUCCAGAAGUUCCUCAGGAAUCCUUCCAGAAGUUCCUCGGGAAUUCUUCCAGAAGUUCCUCGGGAAUUCUUCCAGAAGUUCCUCGGGAAUUCUUCCAGAAGUUCCUCGGGAAUUCUUCCAGAAGUUCCU